GCGGAUGUGGUGACCAGAAGGAAAUAGUUUCUUAAUGUAGUAUUCCCAGGGCCGGUGCAAAGAUUUUUGCCUGCCUAGGCAAAAAAAAAAAAGGUUACUGCCUAAUACGCUCCACCCACUAAUGUAGACUGACACACACACAAGCUGACUCAAGGAGACACACACUGAUUCAUACAGACUGACACACACUGACCCAUGCAGAAUGGCUCACACACACACACUGAC